rnacentral:rRNA from 1 species
UACGUAGGUGGCAAGCGUUGUCCGGAAUUAUUGGGCGUAAAGCGCGCGCAGGCGGUCCUUUAAGUCUGAUGUGAAAGCCCACGGCUCAACCGUGGAGGGUCAUUGGAAACUGGGGGACUUGAGUGCAGGAGAGAAGAGUGGAAUUCCACGUGUAGCGGUGAAAUGCGUAGAGAUGUGGAGGAACACCAGUGGCGAAGGCGGCCUCCUGGAUCGAUACUGACGCUGAGGCGCGAAAGCGUGGGGAGCAAACAGG